AAUAUUUUCACAUAUUCGUACGUUUAUACGUACACAUCAUAUGCACAACAUCAAUUCACACAUAAUUGCAUCAGUCGUCCAGAAUCUCGAUUCGGUCGUGUCUCUUCGGUUCAGUCUUAACUUACCAUUGUGUCAAGCCACAAGUUUCUACAAAUAAGCCUCUUCCAUUCACCUUCUUUUGUCAAAGUGUCAUCCCCGGCGUGAAGCCGUGCUAGUCAUGACACUAAUCAAACCUCAAUUUC
rnacentral:lncRNA from 1 species